UUGAAAUAUCCCUAAAUUGGAAAUAACCCAGAGUGAAUCAAGGGACGAGUGGAUGAACUGUGGCAUAUAUUUUUUGUGGCAUACUGUUUAGCAAAACGAAGGAGCCCAGAUGCAACAACUUGGAUGAACGUCGCAAACAUAAUGCCGAAUGAAAGAAGCCAGACAUAAAAGAAUGCGUGCUGUUUGAUACUCUUUCUUUAAAACUCAAAAACAGGCAGAAUAUAGAGUGUUAAAUAUCAGGAUAGUGGUUGCAGUUGGGAAGCAUGGAGUGAGUGAUUUGGAAAAGAGACAGGGAAUAUGUCUGAGGUGCUUGAUUUGAAUAUAUUCUAUUUCUCAGCCUGAAUGAUGGUUAUAUGGAGCUGUUCGUUUCUUAAUACCUCACUGAAAUGUUUAUUCGUGAUUGCCUCCCUUAGUUGUGUGUUUGCUGUAAUUUAAUAAAAGAAGUUCGAGAAACGGAGCUAAGCAUGCUACUUCAUCAUAAGGUUGAGCAAGAAAUGCAGAAGUAAAAGAAAAUACACUGAAAGGAUGACUAAAAAUAAAACGAAUGAUGGAAAAAAGUAGAACUAAUCAGUAAUUUAAAAAGGCGAAAAGAUACACGCCUUGUGUCUGCAUCAGGAACGUAUUUGUGUAUGUGCAGUACUCCUUAUACUUUAAUGGGAUUGAUUCUUCAUACCGCUCAUCACCACCUGAUAAUCAGUUAUCUGUUUAUUACCUGCAUUGCCCGAUUGAACCGUGAGAUACCUAAGAGCUGUUCCCUCCUCAUUGCUGAAUACCUGGCCUGGCAGAAGGAAGGCCCUUACUAAGUAUUUGCUGACUGAAUGAAGGAAUAAGAGACAGCAGGAGGCAAAGGUUCCAAUCCAAGCAAGCUCCAGCAAGGGGGACUCAGGGCGACUUCUCCUUUCAUAAAACCUUUUGUAUUUCUCAUCUCCAUUAUGCCUAGCAGAGGAUGUGGACUGAAUUCUGGUCAUGUCAGGAAUAACAGCCACCACAGGAGAUAAGGCUCUUGCCAUCCCAGUAUGUGUCUGCCUGGCUUACCUUUCCAAACGGGUGAUUUGAGACAGUUAUUAAUACUGUGUGAAGCUCCAUUUUCUCAGUUACUAAGUGAUAGUUAUUAAUACCCAAUCUGGAGGGUUAUUAGGGCAACUAGAGGAGUUUGUGUAUGUAGAACUAAGAGUGCUCAGUAAAUAGAGGUUGGUAUUAAUAUUUGCAUGGUAGGAUGUUUGAGUUUUUAAUGCUGUCACAUGUUUCAUCUACACA